rnacentral:rRNA from 1 species
UACGUAGGGUGCGAGCGUUAAUCGGAUGUACUGGGCGUAAAGCGUGCGCAGGCGGCCCGUUAAGACAGGUGUGAAAUCCCUGGGCUCAACCUAGGAAUUGCGCUUGUGACUGGCGGGCUCGAGUACGGUAGAGGGGGGUGGAAUUCCUGGUGUAGCAGUGAAAUGCGUAGAGAUCAGGAGGAACACCGAUGGCGAAGGCAGCCCCCUGGGCCUGUACUGACGCUCAUGCACGCAAGCGUGGGGAGCAAACAGG